ensembl:lncRNA LINC00331 long intergenic non-protein coding RNA 331
UACCAUGUGUGGACACAGCAAGAAGGCAGCAUCUAUAAGCUAGGAAGGAGGCCCUCACCAGACUUGGAAUCUGCUGGCUUCCUGAUCUUGGCCUUUCUAGCCUCCAGAACUGAACAUGGAUGAAGCUGGAGGCCAUUAUCCUUAGCAAACUAACACAAGAACAGAAAACCAAAUACCGCAUGUUCUUCCUUAUAAGUGGGAGCUACAUGAUGAGAUGAGAACAUGAGAGCCUGGGCAGGUUUUCUAUUCUCCUGAGUGGAACCAUCAGACUUUUCUUGAGGGAUUGGCCCUCUAGUGAAGAGCAUGGAGUGGACUGGGCCAGGGAAAGAUCCUCAGAUAAUCCUUACAUGAUAUCCACAGUAGAUCAACUGAUGCUUCAGGUGCCCAAAGGAACCAAGUGAAAUUACCAAAUUAGAAGUGAUAAGAGGUUGACUCUCUCCAGAAAUUUAUUGUAAUUAGAAAGAGGUAAUGGUGUCUAAAUAAGAUGAAAGAAGAUAUUUUAAAGAUGAUAAUAACAAAAACUACAUCCUAGGUUUGAGGAAACUGUGAGGACAUCUAAGUGGCAAUUUCCAAAAGGCAGCUGAAUUAAUGUGUCUGGAGAUAAGAAAAAGACUAGAAUGAGGUGAAGCCAGAAAGGAAGAGUCAUAAUCAAAGAAGAGAGUGAUCAAGAAUCCAAAAUGAAAGAAAAGCAGACAAGACAAACUAAAUCAGCAACCAUCCCUUUGGAUGCCAGCUGACCUCGGAUGGAGAUUUAGUGCUAGAUGUAAAAGGCUUUGUUUACAGACAAUUAAAAACCACAUAAAUUUAAAUUGUCAAAGAAGAAAUGGUUUCCAAAGCUUCUAACAGCCUGGUAGCCCCUCCUCAGCCCUGUGCAGGAAAGGCCCAGAGGCAAAUACAAAGCCACCAACCCAAAUGCCUGUGGAGUUUGCCAGAAAGCCAGAUCCUGCUGCUUCUGCUGCUUGUUACUGAUGUUGAAAAAUAAAAUCUUAUACAGCUUCAAA